GACGAACGCUGGCGGCGUGCUUAACACAUGCAAGUCGAACGGAAAGGCCCUGCUUUUGUGGGGUGCUCGAGUGGCGAACGGGUGAGUAACACGUGAGUAACCUGCCCUUGACUUUGGGAUAACUUCAGGAAACUGGGGCUAAUACCGUAUAGGAGCUCCUGCUGCAUUGUGGGGGUUGGAAAGUUUCGGCGGUUGGGGAUGGACUCGCGGCUUAUCAGCUUGUUGGUGGGGUAGUGGCUUACCAAGGCUUUGACGGGUAGCCGGCCUGAGAGGGUGACCGGCCACAUUGGGACUGAGAUAGGGCCCAGACUACUACGGGAGGCAGCAGUGGGGAAUAUUGCACAAUGGGCGGAAGCCUGAUGCAGCAACGCCGCGUGUGGGAUGACGGCCUGCGGGUUGUAAACAGCUUUAGCCUGUGACGAAGCGUGAGUGACGGUAAUGGGUAAAGAAGCACCGGCUAACUACGUG
rnacentral:rRNA from 1 species